rnacentral:rRNA from 1 species
AGUGAACGCUGGCGGUAGGCCUAACACAUGCAAGUCGAACGGCAGCACAGGAGAACUUUCUCCCUAGGUGGCGAGUGGCGGAUGGGUGAGGAAUACAUCGCAAUCUGUCCAGUUUUGGGGGAUAACGUGGGGAAAAUUACGCUAAUACCGCAUACGACCUUCGGGUGAAAGAGGGGGAUCGCAAGACCUCUCGCGAGUGGGUGAGCGGAUGUCGGAGUAGUUAGUUUGGGGGGUAAUGGCACACCAAAGCGACGGUCUGUAGCUGGUGUGAGAGGAGGGUCAGCCACACUUGAACUUAAACACCGUCCAGACUCCUAAGGGAAGGAACAGGAGGGAAUGUUAGACAAUAGGCGCAAACCUUAUCCAGCCAUACCACGGCGGUGAAGAAAGCCCUCGGGUUGUAAAGCCCUUUUUUUGGGGAAAAAAUCUUUCAGGCUUAGACCCUGGGAGUAUGACGGUACCCAAUGAAUAAGCACCGGCUAACUUCGUG